ensembl:snRNA U6 U6 spliceosomal RNA
GCUGUGGCAGCACAUCGUGUAUUAAAAUUGGAACGAUACAGAGAUCAGCAUGGCCCCUGCGCAAGGAUGACACAUAAAUUCGUGAAGCAUUCCCUAGUUGU